ACGACCCUUUGUGCUCUAUUCGCGACACGCACUUCGAGCGUUACGAAGAAGUAAAUAACGGACGCGCUCGUAAAUAUGCCGCAGACAGAUGCCUCCCACGCGACAGAGGAAUGCCAUGCCGUUAGCGUUCAGUCCCUGCAGAUGCGCCGGUGCCAAGCGGAGUCGCAACCUUUGAGAUAUGCUUGUGAAGCCCGCUCUCCUACUGAUUGUUAUGCAAGGAUGCAUUGAAACUGUGCUGUGCCAAAGACCUGGAGCCCACUUGAAACAGUCGAAGCAGUGGAAGGAUUUCGAGAGAGAUUGGAAUAUAUUAAUGCAUCACGUAUUUACCGAGGAAGAAGAAGAGCUCCUCGCUAACUGCUGCGGUCCAGGU
rnacentral:lncRNA from 1 species